rnacentral:rRNA from 1 species
UACGAAGGGGGCUAGCGUUGUUCGGAAUUACUGGGCGUAAAGGGCGCGCAGGCGGCUCUGAAAGUCAGAUGUGAAAGCCCCGGGCUUAACCUGGGAAUUGCAUUUGAUACUCUGGAGCUUGAGUGUGGGAGAGGAGAGUGGAAUUCCCAGUGUAGAGGUGAAAUUCGUAGAUAUUGGGAAGAACACCCGUGGCGAAGGCGGCUCUCUGGGACGGUACUGACGCUGAGACGCGAAAGCGUGGGGAGCGAACAGG